rnacentral:rRNA from 1 species
UAGGGAAUCUUACCACAAUGGGCGCAAGCCUGAUGGAGCAACACCGCGUGAGUGAAGAAGGGUUUCGGCUACGUAAAGCUCUGUUGUUAAAGAAGAACACGUAUGAGAGUAACUGUUCAUACGUUGACGGUAUUUAACCAGAAAGUCACGGCUAACUACGUGCCAGCAGCCGCGGUAAUACGUAGGUGGCAAGCGUUAUCCGGAUUUAUUGGGCGUAAAGAGAGUGCAGGCGGUUUUCUAAGUCUGAUGUGAAAGCCUUUGGCUUAACCGGAGAAGUGCAUCGGAAACUGGAUAACUUGAGUGCAGAAGAGGGUAGUGGAACUCCAUGUGUAGCGGUGGAAUGCGUAGAUAUAUGGAAGAACACCAGUGGCGAAGGCGGCUACCUGGUCUGCAACUGACGCUGAGACUCGAAAGCAUGGGUAGCGAACAGGAUUAGAUACCCUGGUAG